rnacentral:rRNA from 1 species
CAUUUGGAAACAGAUGCUAAUACCGCAUAGAUCCAAGAACCGCAUGGUUCUUGGCUGAAAGAUGGCGUAAGCUAUCGCUUUUGGAUGGACCCGCGGCGUAUUAGCUAGUUGGUGAGGUAAUGGCUCACCAAGGCGAUGAUACGUAGCCGAACUGAGAGGUUGGUCGGCCACAUUGGGACUGAGACACGGCCCAAACUCCUACGGGAGGCAGCAGUAGGGAAUCUUCCACGAUGGACGCAAGUCUGAUGGAGCAACGCCGCGUGAGUGAAGAAGGCUUUCGGGUCGUAAAACUCUGUUGUUGGAGAAGAAUGGUCGGCAGAGUAACUGUUGCCGGCGUGACGGUAUCCAACCAGAAAGCCACGGCUAACUACGUGCCAGCAGCCGCGGUAAUACGUAGGUGGCAAGCGUUAUCCGGAUUUAUUGGGCGUAAAGCGAGCGCAGGCGGUUUUUUAAGUCUGAUGUGAAAGCCCUCGGCUUAACCGAGGAAGCGCAUCGGAAACUGGGAAACUUGAGUGCAGAAGAGGACAGUGGAACUCCAUGUGUAGCGGUGAAAUGCGUAGAUAUAUGGAAGAACACCAGUGGCGAAGGCGGCUGUCUGGUCUGUAACUGACGCUGAGGCUCGAAAAGCA